UCUUAUAGAACCCAGGACCACCAGCCCAGGAAUAGCACUACCCACCAUGGGCUGGGCCCUCUCCCAUCAAUCACUAACCAAGAAAGUGCCCUGCAGCUGGAUCUGAUGGUGGCAUUUUCUCAAUUGAGGCUCCCUUGUUUCAGAUGACUACAGCUUGUGUCAAGUUGACAUAAAACGAGCCAGGACUUGGCAUGUGUAGCCU